rnacentral:rRNA from 1 species
GAUGAACGCUGGCGGCGUGCCUAAUACAUGCAAGUCGAGCGAACAGACGAGGAGCUUGCUCCUCUGACGUUAGCGGCGGACGGGUGAGUAACACGUGGAUAACCUACCUAUAAGACUGGGAUAACUUCGGGAAACCGGAGCUAAUACCGGAUAAUAUAUUGAACCGCAUGGUUCAAUAGUGAAAGACGGUUUUGCUGUCACUUAUAGAUGGAUCCGCGCCGCAUUAGCUAGUUGGUAAGGUAACGGCUUACCAAGGCGACGAUGCGUAGCCGACCUGAGAGGGUGAUCGGCCACACUGGAGCUGAGACACGGUCCAGACUCCUACGGGAGGCAGCAGUAGGGAAUCUUCCGCAAUGGGCGAAAGCCUGACGGAGCAACGCCGCGUGAGUGAUGAAGGUCUUCGGAUCGUAAAACUCUGUUAUUAGGGAAGAACAAAUGUGUAAGUAACGAUGCACGUCUUGACGGUACCUAAUCAGAAAGCCACGGCUAACUACGUG